rnacentral:misc_RNA from 1 species
CGAAAUGCGAUAAGUAAUGUGAAUUGCAGAAUUCCGUGAUUCAUCGAAUCUUUGAACGCACAUUGCGCCCUCUGGCAUUCCGGGGGGCAUGCCUGUCCGAGCGUCAUUACGCACCCUCAAGCCCGGCUUGUGUGAUGGGCCCCGGCGUCUCGUUCGCGAGACGGGCCCGAAAGGCAGCGGCGGCGUCGACCCGAUGAGCCCGAGCGUAUGGGGACUUCUGUCACACGUUCGCGGUGCGGACCGGCGCCUGCUUGACUUUUCUGAUUAUCCAGGUUGACCUCGGAUCAGGUAGGGAUACCCGCUGAACUUAAGC